rnacentral:rRNA from 1 species
CCUACGGGGUGCAGCAGUGAGGAAUAUUGGUCAAUGGGCGAGAGCCUGAACCAGCCAAGUCGCGUGAGGGAGUACUGCCCUAUGGGUUGUAAACCUCUUUUGUCGGGGAGCAAAAGCCGGACGUGUCCGGCUGUGAGAGUACCCGAAGAAAAAGCAUCGGCUAACUCCGUGCCAGCAGCCGCGGUAAUACGGGGGAUGCGAGCGUUAUCCGGAUUUAUUGGGUUUAAAGGGUGCGCAGGCGGAUUUUUAAGUCAGCGGUAAAAUCGUGGGGCUCAACCCCAUCCAGCCGUUGAAACUGGGGAUCUAGAGUGUGCGAGAGGUAUGCGGAAUGCGUGGUGUAGCGGUGAAAUGCAUAGAUAUCACGCAGAACCCCGAUUGCGAAGGCAGCAUACCGGUGCACAACUGACGCUCAGGCACGAAAGCGUGGGUAUCGAACAGGAUUAGAUACCCCAGUAGUC